rnacentral:rRNA from 1 species
UCGUGAGACAGUUCGGUCCCUAUCUGCCGUGGGCGCUGGAGAACUGAGGGGGGCUGCUCCUAGUACGAGAGGACCGGAGUGGACGCAUCACUGGUGUUCGGGUUGUCAUGCCAAUGGCACUGCCCGGUAGCUAAAUGCGGAAGAGAUAAGUGCUGAAAGCAUCUAAGCACGAAACUUGCCCCGAGAUGAGUUCUCCCUGACUCCUUGAGAGUCCUGAAGGAACGUUGAAGACGACGACGUUGAUAGGCCGGGUGUGUAAGCGCAGCGAUGCGUUGAGCUAACCGGUACUAAUGAACCGUGAGGCUUAACCUU